AUUGAACGCUGGCGGCAUGCCUUACACAUGCAAGUCGAACGGUAACAGGUCUUCGGAUGCUGACGAGUGGCGAACGGGUGAGUAAUACAUCGGAACGUGCCCGAUCGUGGGGGAUAACGGAGCGAAAGCUUUGCUAAUACCGCAUACGAUCUACGGAUGAAAGCAGGGGCCCGCAAGGCCUUGCGCGGACGGAGCGGCCGAUGGCAGGUUAGGUAGUUGGUGGGAUAAAAGCUUACCAAGCCGACGAUCUGUAGCUGGUCUGAGAGGACGACCAGCCACACUGGGACUGAGACACGGCCCAGACUCCUACGGGAGGCAGCAGUGGGGAAUUUGGACAAUGGGCGAAAGCCUGAUCCAGCCAUGCCGCGUGCAGGAUGAAGGCCUUCGGGUUGUAAACUGCUUUUGUACGGAACGAAAAGCCUCUUUCUAAUAAAGAGAGGUCAUGACGGUACCGUAAGAAUAAGCACCGGCUAACUACGUGCCAGCCGCCGCGGUAACAC
rnacentral:rRNA from 1 species